rnacentral:rRNA from 1 species
UACGUAGGGUGCGAGCGUUAAUCGGAAUUACUGGGCGUAAAGCGUGCGCAGGCGGUUGUGCAAGACAGAUGUGAAAGCCCCCGGGCUCAACCUGGGAAUUGCAUUCGAGACUGAAUAGCUAGGGUACGGUAGAGGGAAGCGGAAUUUCCGGUGUAGCGGUGAAAUGCGUAGAUAUCGGAAGGAACAUCAGUGGCGAAAGCGGCUCCUGGACC